CCUACGGGUGGCAGCAGUGGGGAAUAUUGCACAAUGGGGGAAACCCUGAUGCAGCGACGCCGCGUGAGUGAAGAAGUAAUUCGUUAUGUAAAGCUCUAUCAGCAGGGAAGAAAAUGACGGUACCUGAGCCAGAAGCGCCGGCUAACUCAGUGUCAGCAGCCGCGGUAACACGUAGGGGGCAAGCGUUAUCCGGAUUUACGGGGUGUUAAGGGAGCGUAGGCGGCAGUGCAAGUCUGGAGUGAAAGGCGGGGGCUCAACCCCCGGACUGCUCUGGAAACUGGACGGCUGGAGUGCAGGAGAGGGAAGUGGAAUUCGUGGUGUAGCGGUGAAAUGCGUAGAUAUUAGGAGGAACACCAGUGGCGAAGGCGGCUUACUGGACUGUAACUGACGUUGAGGCACGAAAGCGUGGGGAGCGAACAGGAUUAGAUACCCGGGUAGUC
rnacentral:rRNA from 1 species